rnacentral:lncRNA from 1 species
UGUAAAUAAGCAUCUCAAAACAGACAUCACCCGGUUCUGAUCAUAUAAUUUCAUAAAAUUGUUGUAAAGUCAAAUUUCUUUUCCAUCAACCCGUGAUGGACUCUACAGUAAGUUGCCACCAAAAUGGGAAAAAGUUCAUCAAGUUCUAACAAACUAAUAACACAUAACUAUUGAAAGAACGUAUAGACUGGAAAAAGAUUAACCUAAGAAAUACAAUGAAAGAUUUCUAUUCCCAAAUCAAGUAGCUAGUCCUUCAAGUGUUGCUGUAUGAUGUUGC